rnacentral:rRNA from 1 species
GAUUUCUGAUGAACCGGAGUGGCCCGUUUCCUUUCAGGGAAUGAGUGCCGCUUUGAGUUUGUCAUCCUUCCAGAGAGCUGCGUCUACCGUUUACUCGGCCGGACGUAUGCGAUCUGGAUCUAUUACUUUGAAAAAAUUAGAGUGUUUAAAGCAGGCUUUUGCUAUGAAUACAUUAGCAUGGAAUAAUAAUCUAGGACUUCGGUUCUAUUUUGUUGGUUUCUAUAACUGAAGUAAUGAUUGAUAGGGAUAGUUGGGGGUGCUAGUAUUGGCCGGCCAGAGGUGAAAUUCUUGGAUUCGGUCAAGACUAACUUAUGCGAAAGCAUU